ACAGCGAGGGGAGGAGUGAGCUGGCCAAUCUGGCUACAUGGGAGAGUGAUGGACUGAGUUACCCUGAGUCAGUCUGCUACAGCAGCACCACAUCAUCCAUCAUUGUGGGACAGUGGAAUAGCGACACAAUCCUGGUGUUCAGAGUGGAAUAGUGUGUACAUUCGCUGCUGAGUCAGGACAACGAUGCUGAGGAUGUGGGGGACAAGGAUGACCUGACUACGCAGAAGCAACUGCUAAGCACAGAAGAUAAAGGAGUAGUGAAAGGCUCAGCCAAAUCAAAGUCCAGCGUUGUGAGGGUGACACAGCCUCUCCAUGUCCUCGUAUUGCAACAUGAAGGACAUUUAAGCUGAAACUAACAAGG